CUUGUUUUCUUUAUGUUUUAGCUGCAGCUUCCCUCUGUCCUCCCUCCACAAACCCUGCUGCAGUACACACAAAGCCCGGGCCGGUCGGUUUAUUCCAUCUUAAAAUACAGCACUUGGAAAGAAGAAUAAAUAUUGGUAGCCAUUGGGAGACAAUGGAAUCGUUGCCUAUUUUUAAAGAUGCUUCUUGGCCAAUAAUGAUGAUAUGGGAGCGAAUCAACCAUGCAUAUACAUCAGAUUCUCCUCCGAAGGACUGGGGGCUACAAAAAGACGGCUGUGGCUUCCAGAACUGGAUUUUUUGUUCCCACAAUGAAAAAUAUACUGUGCUCUGGGACACUAGUUACUCCUACUGGAAAGUUGACACUCCAUUUGAGCGAUGUCUGUAUUUUGUUGGACCUCUUUUUAUAGACAAAUCAGCGACAGGAUUAAAAGUACCUCCGUUAUUUACUGUCAAUAAUUCAGAUACAGAUUUUUUAAUACCAGCCCGUGCUUCAAUGGUGAGGGGAAAAAUGCUUGAAAUUGCCCAUUUUGUUGUUAAACCACAUGUUUCGAACCUCAAAUAAAAAAAUAUUGUAA